UGGGUUGAACUACGCAGGAAAAGCCACAGAGAUGUGGUGUCCGAAAGGGCCUGCGAUAGGUGGUGCAUGGCUGUCGUCAGCUCGUGUCGUGAGAUGUUGGGUUAAGUCCCGCAACGAGCGCAACCCUUAUCCCAUGUUGCCAGCGGGUUAUGCCGGGGACUCGUGGGAGACUGCCGGGGUCAACUCGGAGGAAGGUGGGGAUGACGUAGCUAAGCCUUC
rnacentral:misc_RNA from 1 species